GAUGAACGCUGGCGGCGUGCCUAAUACAUGCAAGUCGAACGAAACUUCUUUAUCACCGAGUGCUUGCACUCACCGAUAAAGAGUUGAGUGGCGAACGGGUGAGUAACACGUGGGCAACCUGCCCAAAAGAGGGGGAUAACACUUGGAAACAGGUGCUAAUACCGCAUAACCAUAGUUACCGCAUGGUAACUAUGUAAAAGGUGGCUAUACUACCGCCUUUGGAUGGGCCCGCGGCGCAUUAGCUAGUUGGUAGGGUAAAGGCUUACCAAGGCAAUGAUGCGUAGCCGAAUUGAGAGGUUGAUCGGCCACAUUGGGACUGAGACAUGGCCCAAACUCCUACGGGAGGCAGCAGUAGGGAAUCUUCCACAAUGGGCGAAAGCCUGAUGGAGCAACGCCGCGUGGGUGAAGAAGGUCUUCGGAUCGUAAAACCCUGUUGUUAGAGAAGAAAGUGCGUGAGAGUAACUGUUCACGUUUCGACGGUAUCUAACCAGAAAGCCACGGCUAACUACGUG
rnacentral:rRNA from 1 species